rnacentral:rRNA from 1 species
AGUGGCGUACGGGUGAGUAACACGUGACUAACCUACCCUCGAGUGGGGAAUAACCUCGGGAAACCGGGGCUAACACCGCAUAACAUCUACGGAUCAAAUGCGUAAGCAGCUUGAGGAGGGGGUCGCGGCUGAUUAGCUAGUUGGCGGGGUAAUGGCCCACCAAGGCAGUGAUCAGUAGCCGGCCUGAGAGGGCGCACGGCCACACUGGAACUGAAACACGGUCCAGACUCCUACGGGAGGCAGCAGUGGGGAAUUUUGCGCAAUGGGGGAAACCCUGACGCAGCAACGCCGCGUGGAGGAUGAAGCCCCUUGGGGUGUAAACUCCUUUCGAUCGGGACGAUUAUGACGGUACGGGAUGAAGAAGCACCGGCUAACUCUGUGCCAGCAGCCGCGGUAAUACAGAGGGUGCAAGCGUUGUUCGGAAUUAUUGGGCGUAAAGGGUGCGUAGGCGGUGCGGUAAGUCUUCUGUGAAACCUCCGGGCUUAACUCGGAGCCUGCAGGGGA